GAUGAACGCUGGCGGCGUGCCUAAUACAUGCAAGUCGAGCGAACAGACGAGGAGCUUGCUCCUCUGUCGUUAGCGGCGGACGGGUGAGUAACACGUGGAUAACCCACCUAUAAGACUGGGAUAACUUCGGGAAACCGGAGCUAAUACCGGAUAAUAUAUUGAACCGCAUGGUUCAAUAGUGAAAGACGGUUUUGCUGUCACUUAUAGAUGGAUCCGCGCCGCAUUAGCUAGUUGGUAAGGUAACGGCUUACCAAGGCAACGAUGCGUAGCCGACCUGAGAGGGUGGUCGGCCACACGGGAACUGGGACACGGUCCAGACUACUACGGGAGGCAGCAGUAGGGAAUCUUACGCAAUGGGCGAAAGCCUGACGGAGCAACGCCGCGUGAGUGAUGAAGGUCUUCGGAUCGUAAAACUCUGUUAUUAGGGAAGAACAAAUGUGUAAGUAACUAUGCACGUCUUGACGGUACCUAAUCAGAAAGCCACGGCUAACUACGUG
rnacentral:rRNA from 1 species